GAUGAACGCUAGCGACAGGCUUAACACAUGCAAGUCGAGGGGCAGCAUAGAAGUAGCAAUACUUUGGUGGCGACCGGCGCACGGGAGAGUAACGCGUAUGCAACCUACCUAUCAGAGGGGAAUAACCCGGCGAAAGUCGGACUAAUACCGCAUAAAACAGGGGCACCGCAUGGUGAUAUUUGUUAAAGAAAUUCGCUGAUAGAUGGGCAUGCGUUCCAUUAGGUAGUUGGUGAGGUAACGGCUCACCAAGCCGACGAUGGAUAGGGGAACUGAGAGGUUGGUCCCCCACACUGGUACUGAGACACGGACCAGACUCCUACGGGAGGAAGCAGUGAGGAAUAUUGGUCAAUGGGCGGGAGCCUGAACCAGCCAAGUCGCGUGAAGGAAGAAGGAUCUAUGGUUCGUAAACUUCUUUUGCAGGGGAAUAAAGUGCAGGACGUGUCCUGUUUUGUAUGUACCCUGAGAAUAAGGAUCGGCUAACUCCGUGCCAGCAGCCGCUGUAA
rnacentral:rRNA from 1 species